CUCCUGUGUUUGCUCUUGUGUUCCUGAGGUAUCUUGAGCACUUGGAAAGAUGUGGCUAUUCCCACAGGGGAUGCCUUCCGCACCACCUGGCAUACUGGCUCUGCUUACCCCUGCACAGCAAAUUCAAUGAGGAUUUUUCCCCUGACAAACGGGGAGCAGGGAAGAAACCCAGGACACUGCAAAUGGGAGUGCCUGAAGGAAACCCCAGGCAGUACGGAAAGGAAGGGUUAAGAGCUGCUGACCAUCACAUCCUCUUCCCAUCCAGCCCCUCCUGCAUGGAUCUCUUCCUUGCACCAGGUCAUGCAGCAUGUCUUCCGCUGCUGUGAUGGGGGAAACUACACCCACUGCCAGGUGAUUAAAAAGUCUGCCUUACUGACCCCCACUGACCUUGCACGUCACCCUUCCCAAUUCCCAGAAAGCCUUGGGCAUUUGCCUGCUCUGUAAUCUUCAGCCAACACAGUUUAGGACAGGCUCCUUCCUUGCAGAAUAAAAUCCCUAUUGUUUAAUCCUUGUUCUGUCCU
rnacentral:lncRNA from 14 species